UACGGAGAGGGCGAGCGUUGUUCGGAUUUACUGGGCGUAAAGGGCAUGUAGGCGGCUUGAUAAGCUCCGGGUGAAAUUUCCGCGCUUAACGCGGAAACGAGUCGGAGAACUAUCAGGCUUGAGUUCAGGAGAAGAGAGUGGAAUUCUCGGUGUAGCGGUGAAAUGCGUAGAUAUCGAGAAGAACACCAGCGGCGAAGGCGGCUCUCUAUUCUGAAACUGACGCUCAAAUGCGAAAGCGUGGGGAGCGAAUGGGAUUAGAUACCCCCGUA
rnacentral:rRNA from 1 species